UACGAAGGGGGCUAGCGUUGCUCGGAAUCACUGGCGUAAAGCGCACGUAGGCGGAUUGUUAAGUCAGGGGUGAAAUCCUGGAGCUCAACUCCAGAACUGCCUUUGAUACUGGCGAUCUUGAGUCCGGGAGAGGUGAGUGGAACUGCGAGUGUAGAGGUGAAAAUUCGUAGAUAAUUCGCAAGAACACCAAGUGGCGAAGGCGGCUCACUGGCCCGGUACUGACGCUGAGGUGCG
rnacentral:rRNA from 1 species